rnacentral:lncRNA from 1 species
AAUAAGGAUCUUCUCCGAUGACAUUCGGAUCGCCAAACGGAUCAGGCCAGCGGAAGAACAUAAGAGGGCUCUGUAAACGGCGUUAUCGUGAGGAAGAAUGUCGGUGCCGUCGAUACUACCGGCUUGGAUAGGGUGAUAGGAGUGUGCGUAGAAGACAGAGUUCAGUUUGCUGCUGUUGUUCAUGGUGUUCGUCUGUAUGAAGCGAUCAGGGUGUGU